rnacentral:rRNA from 1 species
GAUUGCAGGCUGCAACUCGCCUGCAUGAAGUUGGAAUUGCUAGUAAUCGCGAAUCAGAAUGUCGCGGUGAAUACGUUCCCGGGCCUUGUACACACCGCCCGUCACACCACGAGAGUUUGUAACACCCAAAGCCGGUGGGGUAACCUUUUGGAGCCAGCCGUCUAAGGUGGGACAGAUGAUUGGGGGUGAAGUCGUAACAAGGUAGC